rnacentral:rRNA from 1 species
AUUGAACGCUGGCGGCAGGCUUAACACAUGCAAGUCGAGCGGAGAUGAGGUGCUUGCACCUUAUCUUAGCGGCGGACGGGUGAGUAAUGCUUAGGAAUCUGCCUAUUAGUGGGGGACAACAUUCCGAAAGGAAUGCUAAUACCGCAUACGUCCUACGGGAGAAAGCAGGGGAUCUUCGGACCUUGCGCUAAUAGAUGAGCCUAAGUCGGAUUAGCUAGUUGGUGGGGUAAAGGCCUACCAAGGCGACGAUCUGUAGCGGGUCUGAGAGGAUGAACCGCCACACUGGGACUGGGACACGGCCCAGAAUCCUACGGGAGGCAGCAGUGGGGAAUAGUGGACAAUGGGGGAAACCCUGAUCCAGCCAUGCCGCGUGUGUGAAGAAGGCCUUAUGGUUGUAAAGCACUUUAAGCGAGGAGGAGGCUACUGAGACUAAUACUCUUGGAUAGUGGACGUUACUCGCAGAAUAAGCACCGGCUAACUCUGUGCCAGCCGCCGCCGUAA